GGACGAUUAUCUAACUGGUCCUUUGGGGAUCCCUGAAAAUCUUCCAGGUGAUGGACAGGUCUGUCUGCAUGUGCUGCACUGUGUGGAGUUACCCAGAAUCCUCCAGUGCGAUGGGAUGCAAGAAGCCUGCAGGGUCCUGGGACACCCCUCUAGCGACUCUCAGUGACCCUGGUGACCCUCAGUGACCCUGAUGGAGGAGGUCAGGGAGAGGGAAGGCUGUGACUCCUCACCCU